rnacentral:rRNA from 1 species
AUACGGAGGAUGCGAGCGUUAUCCGGAUUUAUUGGGUUUAAAGGGUGCGUAGGCUGUGCGUUAAGUCAGGGGUGAAAUGCCGUCGCUCAACGACGGAGCUGCCCUUGAUACUGGCGUGCUGGAGUACGGAUGCCGUUGGAGGAAUGAGUGGUGUAGCGGUGAAAUGCUUAGAUAUCACUCAGAACACCGAUUGCGAAGGCAUCUGACGAAUCCGUCACUGACGCUGAGGCACGAAAGCGUGGGGAUAGAACAGGAUUAGAUUCCCUGGUAUUCCACGCCGUAAACGAUGAUGACUAACCGUCGGCGAUAGACAGCCGGUGGCCAAGCGAAAGCGAUAAGUCAUCCACCUGGGGAGUACGUCGGCAACGAUGAAACUUAAGGGAAUUGACGGGG